rnacentral:rRNA from 1 species
CAGUAGCCGCGGUAAUACGAAGGGUGCAAGCGUUAAUCGGAAUUACUGGGCGUAAAGCGUGCGUAGGCGGUGAGUUAAGUCUGCUGUGAAAUCCCCGGGCUCAACCUGGGAAUGGCAGUGGAUACUGGCAAGCUAGAGUGUGUCAGAGGAUGGUGGAAUUCCCGGUGUAGCGGUGAAAUGCGUAGAGAUCGGAAGGAACAUCAGUGGCGAAGGCGGCCAUCUGGGACAACACUGACGCUGAGGCACGAAAGCGUGGGGAGCAAACAGGAUUAGAUACCCCCGUAGUCCCUGUCUCUUAUAC